CAGAAAGGAAACAAUGGCGCGGGACGCGCGCGUUAGAAGAAAGGUGGGCGCAUCCGGGCGGAUCGAUCGAUAAUCGUUUUUAUGCAAAUUAUCAAAGGCGGCCCUCGUUCCGGAAAUUAUUUACAAGUCAUUUACGAAUUGCUCGCCGCGUCUGGAAAAAGUUGAGGUGACAGUCGGUCGGAUAUCUCGCGCUAGGGAUGAAUUUGCCCGGAAAAACAGCCAAGAAAUUUUUCUCUCGCAGAGGGCAAGCUUCGUUUCGAUAUAACAACGGACGGGGGGAUGGAUAAAUUGACGAUCAUCUCCCCCCUCCCUCCCCGUGUCGCGAUGAAACGCGUCCGGGAGAAGGGACGGACGGCGCGUUCGUUCUCCUAUUUCCCUUUCCGCGCGCAGAGGCGAAUCCGUUUCACGCACAGAGCAAGGCAUAAAGGGCCGCCGUCCUUCCUCCCGACUUUGGCCGUCGCCAGACUUUCGCCGAUGGGACGACGGCUAUAUUGAUCGCGCAACCUGGUCAUGGCCCAAAUAACCGAACCUCGUCCUCCGGGAUAGAGAGCGUCCUAGAAUUAACUCUUACUUCCCGUCCGUUUCGCGCGUUCCGUUCGCACGCUCGAUUCUUACCGCGAAUUGUAUCGAUCGGUAUGUUCGACGUUCGAGCGCGUUUUUAUCGACGCGUCGAAUCUUCCUUUUUCAUCGACGUAAACCUUUUCAUCGAUGCCACGUGCCGACAUUCGCGAGCGGGAGAUAAAACCUUUGACAAUUACAUUAAUCAUUCGGGGAGGGGGGAGGGUUUGUUGUUCGAAGGAGCGGACGAUUGCGUUGCGCUUUUCAAACGUGACACGGGAAAAUCGAUCGCGCGGUUAUCAGUCGGUAAUCUCGCAUGACAUCGGCGAAAGGUAUUCGCGGAAUCGAGGACGAGAUCGAUUAUUUAUGCAAUUACAGCGCGGCCUUAUGUUUCCUGAAACGAUGCGAAAAAAUAACGAUGUUCGAACCAACCGAGUGGUCGGUUCUUGGCAAAAAUCGAGAUUUAUAUAUAUUUGGGGAGGAGAAAUUUGAGGAUACGGUUAAUUAAUAAGGAAAAUGUAAAUAAAUAUAUUCAAAUAUACGUGUUAUGUGAUGGAACAAAUAAGCGAUUCGAUUCUUGAAUAAUGCAAUGCAGUUAACACGUGAUGGAAACAUAUUACCUUGACAAUAACAUAAUGGAAGGUGAAAAAAGUAUUGCACGUAAUAAUUCAUGGACAGAUUUAAUGAUCAGGAAGCGAAAAAUAUAUUAUAGCAGCAUAUAUCAUAAAAUAUUAAAAGUGUUCGAUUUAAAUAUUCAAAAAUUCAUUAUAAUUCGAUAUAAUUGAAAUCGAGAUGAUGAGAAUGUUGUAAACGAAAUAAUUAAGGAGAAAUCAAAGAAAAUAUGAUAUUUCAAAAGUUUGCUCGUUGAUUUUUCGUCCUUCGAUUCGACUGCACUGCGUGACCUAUAAAUUUUCUCGACCUAUUUCGACCAUAAGCAUUUGACGGUCACCCCUUAGAUGGCACUGCGAGACACGGCCAUCGUUGUACUACGUAAACUUCGCGCGCCGAUUCAGGGAGGAUUGAAGGACUGACCUAAAUCGGAAAGCCAGGUAUCAUCGUCUCUCUUUUCUCUCUUCCUUCAAAACAUAUUCGGUCGAAGCAAGGUCGCGCUUUACCCGAAACUCACAACAAUCGUUAAACGAGAAUUCCCUCCCCUCCGGGCCGAGAGAUCGUUUAUUUGGCGCGCAGUAGUUCCGUAUUCUUUCAAUCCAUCGAACCGCGGUUGUCGCUGUGCCAAACUGUGCAAUAACUUUUUAAGCUGACGGCCCCGUGCGACGCGUAUCGCACGUGUCACACGUUGAGAAGAGAGGAAACGCCGCGGUAACGUAAGGAGGCGUGGUGGCAAUAAGUAACGUUUCGAAAUUCUCGUUUGAUCGUAAACCUCGUUGCCAAAUGAAAGAAAAAGCAAAACGAAAACCAGAUAUUCGAAUGUGUAUUAAAAGCGUGUUUACAAAUCGCGCGUUGUUGUAUGUAAACGGUAGAUCGAAUGGAUACGUGAUGAUAUAAAUACAUCGAUAACAAUAAGGAUCUUGGGUACGAUUUUAAAAAUUUCAAAAUUCUUUGUGAACGUUCCCCAUUUCGAAAUUUUAUUAUCAUUAUUCGUUACCGUACGAAUGGAUAGACGCAACAUAGUUGUCUCCCUAUCUUUACAGAUGCCCGAAACAAACUAUACACUCGCUAUCUUUCUCGACUCUUGAUUAGUCAUCGAGACUUCGCACAGUUUUUUCUUUCACUUUUUCUCCCUAGGCAACCUCGCGACCAGAUUAUAUGCUUUCACUUGAAAAUGCCCCGUUAAUAAUACUUAUAGCGUUCAAUAUCAACAAUAUAAAUUAAAAAAAAAAAGAAUUCGAGAAGAUUAAGCGAAAGGUAUAUAUAGGCGAGAGAUUUAACGGUUUGGCGGUGAAACGAGAAUUGCAUAUCGAUUCGGAUAGUAACAGUUUCACAGAGGCAUAUACAUUACGGUCAAGUCGGGCUCGGUGAGAUGCCCAUCUCUCGUCGUGGCGAGGUGAAAGGAUUAAAUGGGCCAAAAUCAGAAGGAAGGAAGGAAGGAAGGAAGGGAUCCUCGAUUGUCGUAGAAAAUGACGCGGGCAACACACGGAUAUACGCACACAGAUGUACCGAGAAGACCCAUUUAUCGGCGCUCGCCGUGGCUGACCUGUUUGCGCGACACGCCGCUUUUCCCCGGAGAGAAAAAUCCGGCCUGUUCAUCUGAGGCGGAAUGGGACUGGGUGAAAGUCGUUCAGGUGAUUCGAGGGAUGCCGGCCAAAGAUAGACGCGAGACAAUGCUCGAUGGCGUUUUAUGUAACAUGGCAACACACGCUACUCCUCCUCGACUUCAUUGGGUCGAUCGUAAAACCCCUGAGAAAGAAAUACGGUUUGUGAUAAACCGUAAGUUAGAAUUUCCGUUUGGAAAAAAAUGAUAACGUGGAAAUUACGAUUAUUAUUCAACUGUAGGAUGAAGUAUUCUAUCGACUUCGUCGAUCGAGAGGAGUUUGGCAAGAAAUUAAAAAUUAUGUCGAAGCGGUAUUGCAAAAUGUCGAGUCAGAAGACAAUUGUCGAUUUAAAUGAUCGGCAAGAUUUUUGUAGUUAGACAACGAGAAAUGUCGAUUAACAAUACUAUGUGUGUGUCGCAUUAUCGCGAUAACCACCUAGCAACAAAGAACACCAUAUUACCAAGAUAAUAAUAUGUGACGACACUGUUUACAAUCGAGUCGCAUUACGAUUACAAAGCGUGAGUUAGAAUCUCGUGGAACAGGAUUCGAGACACCCACGUAGAUGCUGAUCACGUGUACGGAACGAUACGAUUCGCAAAUAACGGUGUUGUGCUCGUUGCGACCAGUUAUAUUGCUGUGGGAAGAUAGGUAACGUACGCGUUACGUGAAUAAGUGUUCGUAAAUUCAUAACGAAGCAGAGAGUGGUUUAGAAAGCGGACACGGAUUCUACAAAAAACCAUAUAACUGUACGAUUGCUCAAUGUUGGUUGAAAGUCGCUGCUUGACUUAUACGUGAAAACAUUCAUCGCAACGAGCUAGGAAAGACGAACAAAUUUACGGCAAUAACCAUUGCAACGCCUGCUAUUAGAGAAAUCAAAGGAUUAAUCACGACGAACUCAUCAUACGCGUUGCUGCUUUUUUGGUCAAGGUAAUCGUAAUGCUUCGCGUGUUACCAUGUAAAUUUGAUACCACUAAUGAAUGGUUAAGUUUAUGCUAUUGUUAAGAUUGGCGGGAAAGAAGUUAUGGUAAAAGUAUCGUUCUUAAGCAAACAAAAAUCAUUAAAGGAAAAAAAUAAUAAUAACGAAACAGUCAUAAAUUUAACAAAACGAACUAUAUAUAAUACGUAAUUGCAAAUUUUUAAUCGUGUUUAAUAAUUGGGAUAAAACAAGCUUCUUCGAUGAAAAAAAAAAAAAUUUGAACCUCUUGAACGCAAAAGCAAAAACAUAACCAACAAAACGAAAAGUAUGUAUCCUAUUGUAAUGUUUACAUAGAAAAAAGGUAAAAAUAAAAGAAUUUUUUAACUUGGCCGA